ensembl:lncRNA
GUUAGCUGCAGGGGAGGUGACACAUGAGUGUGUUCCACUGGGGACAGCUGGCAUGUGAGGCCUCACCUGGGUGACAACAGCAGAUGGUGCCUGGCAACCCACUGGGCUCAGUGCAUCCUCCUUGCUGGACUGGGAUUCAAGGGGGAGAAGGCUUGGGAGAAGGGAAAUUGAGUGAUAUUAGGGGAAAGGGGACAAAUUAGACCUCAUCAAGCAUGCAGCUUCUACAAAAAGGGCUGUGAUGUGGCUCUUGCAACGUGCACAAGCCAAUGGCAGAGCAAGGCAGCAGGAUGCUCACGUCAGGUAAGAGUGAAAGGGAAAGGUGCAUUUCUCAGAAGAAUGAGACCCAAUUGCCCACCAGAAAGGAAGGAGGUAUGGACAUCACUUUGGAUUUUGAUGAAAAAAAAUAUAUAUUAAGAAAUAAAAGAAAACCUAUAUUUAGCUUCCGACUUCAGACACAGCGUGAGGAUUCCUAUAGUAACAUCUGCUAUUCCCCUCCCCUGUUUAAUUUAUGGCCGUUAACUUUAGGGCUAAGGACAGUUUAUGGAAAAAAACACCUGCUUUCUCCUACUCCCAGGGCAAGGGUGGAAUUUUCUCUGACUCUGCAUCCUAAAUAAAGCUCCGUUCCAGGCCCCGAUGAUUCAUAGCACGGCUCAUGCACACAUGCCUUAUGUUAGGAGGCCCUGUCAGAUGCUCAUGCCCCUUUCUCCAGGACUCAAGCACAGAGUUCAUUUAUACACAUCACUGGGGCCAUUCUGGGGGAAACCUGAGCCCAGAGGUCCCACCGUGCCCACCUCCUGCAGAAAAGCUCUGUCCACGUUAUGGUCAGUGGGAUUGCAGUAAAUCCUCCCAGUCUGGGCCUGAUUUUGCUGCUUCCCAGCAAAGUGCAUCUUCUCCAAAUGCACCUUAAACAUGCACCGAGCUCAGCCCUUGCUCUGCUUGCUCAGCAAGGCAGUAUGUCAUCCCUCCAACAAAGAUCCCUGGCUCUGCUGCUGUCAGCAUGAAAGAUGGCCCCAAGCUUUCACUCAGGGUUGCUUGUCAAGAAGUAAAACACAUAAGGAAAAAAAGAUAAAGCUGAAAAGAAAGUAAAAAUGGGAAUUGUUGGCAGCAAAAGGAAGAUAAAACACGCACGCUCAUCCAAGCUCAUGUCUGAAAACUGAUAGGCAGCACUCACACAGCAUACAAAGACCUCCCACAGAGUGCAGUGCUGUGAUCUGGAGCAUCCUGCAGACCUGAAGCCCCAACGAGACUUUGCCCACCCCACGAUGCACCCUUAUGGGGUGGGGGCUCCUCAUCAUUCAGAGCUGGGAGCAAAGCGUGGUGGUGGUGGUGGAGAGAAGGCUUUGACUAAUCUUGUAACCUUUCCUUUUAGUGUUUAAGAGAACCGAAGUCUGUUUACAAUAAAACAGAGUGAUAUUUUUCAUCCUUCCAAAUGGAACAAGGGUUAUAUAAACAAAGUAACCUCAGACACAGCAAACACCUGUUGGAGGGAACUGGCUCACAAAGACACGCACAAGCUAUCUGUCUAUCUAUCAAGGCCUCCCGUUGACUUGUGGUCAAGUUCAAGUUGAAGUGCACGGCACAGAUUUGCUGAUGGAAGAAGGCUGUGAUAAGCAAAAGCAUUAGUGAGCGCCCAUGGUUUCUGCUCCAGAGGUUAGCAGAGCAGUAAGGAAUAGUUUAGGUCUGAAUGUACCCAAAUAAUUUCUCAGCCAGAUUGGAGCAGUUUUCCCUGUUCUCUGGUAUCUCACUUCCAAGAAGAAACCCCAAAUCAGGAAGUUAUGGAAUAAACUGUUGCAAAUCUCCCUGUCUUCCUUCUACUCCCUAGCUCAUGUUUCAGUCCUGCACCAAAAUAUGUAGGCUUUGAUUUCUUCCAAACUGCUGCGGUUUUGAUUUUUCUCCCGAAGUAAUCAAACUGAAUGCAACUGUGUGCACAUGAUCCUACAGGCAGGCCAAUGAAAUCAUUAAGCCUUUGGGCUUCAAUGGUGUCUUGUGGUGGUGGGUUCCGCAAAUUAAUUAUGCAUCUCUUGCCACAGUAUGAGGCUCCACCGUAUCUUUGCUAAUUACCAUCCUAAUGCAGCAAGAUCAGCUGUGUCAUUUCCUUUUAUUCUGCCUUUUUUUUUUUGUUUCACAAAGGUUUCUCAAAACCACCCGGAACUGUGCCAGGAAGUCCUACACCUGUGAUCCAGCAAUGACUUAGGGUGAGCUCUAAAGUAAUGCAGAAAUCACAGAAUCACAGAAUUGCAGGUGUUGGAAGGGACCUCCAGAGUUCAUUGAGUCCAACCCCAAAUGGAAGACCUCCAACAACCCUGGCUUGGCUUGCUGUGCUGUCGGGUCCUCCUGACAUCCCUUCAGCACAGAAGCCUGUGGGGAGAUAAUCCAGGAGAUACCGCAGCAUCCCGCAGUAGGGAGGUUAGUUUGAUGACUUGCUUUAUUGUGUGGCAUGAUUGGAAUUGGUGAAAUGAGCACAGACUUUUCCAAAAGCCAGUCAGAAGAAGACGUAGCCUUCUCCAUCCUGAGGAAUGACAUUCCCCAUGAACCGGGAGAAGAAUUUUCAAAGCUAUUCAAAGUCAUGACAGUUUGAUCCUCAUUUUAGUUUUUCCUCUUCUAAUAGCAGGCAGAGAAAUAUUAUUCAUUCCAGCACACCACGAAGCAGAUUUCUCAUACAACAGCCUAGCUCCACUGAAGCCGUGGAUGCACGCCAGCCUGCACCUAUUCAAGCAUCUAGCUUCAUAUCUUUGCAUCUUGGCUUUCAGCAGGUCUGCCUCAAUGAAGUCGAGGAAGACUCCAGCAGAGCACCAACCACCCAUCCACCUGAUAUCCAAUCCCAGUUGAUAACCUGACGUUGCACACUGGGACUGGAGCUGAUAACAGGCAAAGAGAAAGGCUCUCUUCCACUCUGUGCAUGGUUGUAACUCUUCCGAAAGCUUUGCUAAAAAAACAUUUUCCCACCUGUAAUGAGAGAGGCUGCCUUGUUUGCCUGGGCUUUGUAAGUGCGUGCUGACAGGUUGUGUGUAAUGUCAUCUCCCUGUUCUUAGCCCUGUUCCAAGUUCGGAAAUCCAGAGGGAGGAAUGGGGACUGCUGUGCUGGAAGGGGAGGGGGCUGUUUCAUUUCUAAGUUUUUGCAUCAUUGCCUGAUUUUUCAGAAGCUUUCAGACACCAAGAAAAGCAUAGUUUAUCCCAUACAUUGCACUCAAACCAAACCAAACAAUAACCUGAAUCAACCUUUAUCAUCGUAUCAUAGAACCAUAGAGUCACAGAGUCAUACAAUCAUUUGAGUUGGAAGAGACUUUAAAGGCCAUCUAGACCACCUCCCCUGCAAUGAGCACUGAUAUCUACAGCUACACAUCAAACCAAGACACGAUGUUCUGUGGCAAAGCAGGGCAGAGAGGGUUGCUCUUGGUCCUAACCCAACAGGUUGAUAUAGAUGAUGGAAGUCAUGUUGUUCUCCAGGCCAGCAAAUAUUUGUGGUCACUUGGUACUCAGUUCACUAUCAACACACAGUGGUCUCUGCACUCAUUUUACAUAAAAUUGGCCAAGUGUUUUUACAUGUCUAUCUCUAUUCUAUGUAUUUUAUGUAUUAAUUAAUGCUUACAACCCACUUGGGUCAGAAAAAUGAGUCUUGGAGAAAGUGAUUUCUUAGCUGCACAUUUCUCAUCAUUUCCAGAUCUUGCUCCACCUCACUGACUUUGCAUGAUGUUGCACAGCCAUUCCCUUCCCCUUCUCUUGAAUCCGUUCUCAGCACACGGGCAUUUCACAAAGACACCCACUGCCCAGCUGUAUCAGGCCUUGGCCACACACAACUGCUCUUAAUUUGUACCAGUCUCUCUUAUCUAUCUAGUCAGCAGUAUUUAAGGAGCAUAUUAACUGCAAUUUGGCUUCCUGGCUGCGUGUAGGACAUGCUUUCUGCCCUGUUCUUUGCUCUUUUGGUUUAUCUGACUUUUCUGUGGAACACUCCAUGUACAUGCUGGGAAGCAGACAGUAAGUCACAAAGCUCUUAACAUUUUCUCUUUGUGAAGAAAUCUGGCAUUUCAUCUUUAAAUACUUAUUCAACUUGUUCCUUAGUAUAGUCUUAAUAUAGCUCCUUUACUGCGUUCCAGUAACAGCCAGGCACCAUGUCAUAAGAGUGACUCAUCUUCUUAUCCAAGACUAUACAUACUCCUUACAAAAACACACAGCUGAGCACUCUUAAAUAUUUAUCUCAUCCCCAGAAGAGAGAUAGGCCCAGUAUCGUUAGGUCUGAGCCAGCGUUUGUGUCCAGGUUUAGAUCCCAAUUUCUCAGCUUAUGCUGUACUUUCUAGGAGGGUCAGAUCAGAGCAACUCACUCAGAAGUCUUUGUGCUGUUUCCUGCACAGGGUUGGAAAAGAAUUCCCAUUCCUGUCUUGGGAACUUGGAUGAACAGAGCAAAGCAAGGACACAAGGUGCGUGCAGCAUACACUUUGUAUGCUCAUUCCUGAAGCAGAUUUUUAAGAGACAGGAGGAUGCUUGGGUGCCACGCAACCCAACAUCUCAGAGGUCCCAUUGCCAGCAGGAGCCCUGGGAGGAGAGAACACGACUGCACCACCAGCUCCGAGUUUCUAAUGUGGCAUUGUAAGGUUGACUUGCUAUGGAUCAGGUCAGACCAAACUCUGAGCCCACUUCCACUGAUUUUGCAACAUCGCAAAAAGCAGUGACGUUAGCCAAGUCAUUUCCAUAUAAACAAGAACAAAAUCAAGUGGAUGAAACUUGGAUCUGGACAGGGGUGCUCAGAUCCAACUUGCUGGCUCGAGCUUUCCUGUAACUAACGUCCAACUUGGGCAAUGAGAGCAACAGAGCACAACUUGCAUGCCUAUCUCUCCUUUCCCAGCCUGUCCAAGGAGUCAUCGUUGUCCCAGGCAACGACUGCCGUUCCUAACACUCAGUGCUUUCUGUAUUUACACAGACACACUCCCUCAAGGUCACCUUUUGGCUGCUUCCUUCCCAUCUCCUGGAGCCCAGCAUUAUCUCUGCUGAUUGCUUCCAAUUAUAACACAUUCUUGAUUUUUUGACUUUUUAGAUAACAUUGGAACUUCUUCCAAGCUACUCUGUCUUCCUGCCAGUACCUUUUCAAUCUGAUGGGAGAUGAGUGCAUCUCGUAUCUCACAAGACUGACUCCUAACUCUAGGCAUUGGGGCAUAAUACCACUGUGCCAAAACAUUACAUAGAACUCAACACUGGGAUAAUACAAAGAGUGUUGUAAAUUAAUAGCUGUUCGCAACACAUCGAUACUAUCAUCAAUAAUUUUGUUUUCAGGGUUCUUGGAAAGCCAAGCUGUGAAGGUACAGACUAAGAAAAAAAAUAUAAAAAAAGCAGACUGGAAUAAAAUAACUGCUCCUUGAGCUGCCUCUUGCAGAUCCUUGUUGGGCAGGCUGGCUGCCUGGGGAUGGAGUUCCACACAGCUCUGUGCCUCUCACUGGUAUCUAUAGGCUAACGCAGGAGCAGCCACUGUAACUCAACUUCAAGCAUUAGGGGCAGAUGAUCCAUACUGAUCCAGGCAGCCCUACCAAAGGAUCACAAGCCCGGACGUGCUCUGGAUGAGCAGCUAUGACUGCUUUGUCUGCAUCAGGUCCUGGAGAGUGCAGCAACAGCCCUGGCCACCACCUCCUGGCUCUGUCCCUCCACCUUCACCUUCCCCCUCCGGUUCCCCAUUCCAGCACAACUGAGCUUGGCUCUGCCUCCCCAUUCUUCAGACAACAACAUGCAGCUCUGCCUAAGCUGCUGAGAAACCUUGAGCUGUGUUUCAAAAACCCCACUCCCACCGCAGCCAGCGUCAGUGGCUGCAAGCCUCACCCAAGCCAACGGAGCAGCACGGAAAGACACCACCUGACUUACUUGGCUCUAACCCUUUGAUUAUUGACUUCAAUGGGAAGAAACGCUGGGCCUCCAUGACUUCUUGCUGACCCCAGAAGAAGUUUAAGCAACAAACUGUUCUCUUGUCCUCUGCAGCUCCCAGAGGAGCUCCCAGUGGAACAGACCACGAGUGUGUGCAAGGUAAGCAGCCCAGUGUUUGGAGAGCACAACAACGCCAAGGCUGAGAAUGCUAAUUGUUCUCCAUUGCCCCCAGUGAUUUUAGCAUUUCAUAACUCCUCUGCUGGCUGACAGCUGGAUUCUUCUCUAAUUAGAAACCAGUUGUAGCUGAAAAAUCAGACAUUUCCUGGAAUUUAAAUAGCCAGUUUUCCACCAGUCAGAAUCCAGCAACGCAACCGUACAGUCCUGUUCUAAUCAUGCUGGGGAGCACAGUGGAUAAGUAGGGAAAAGGGGAUUCUGAGGACUUGACUUUCCUGCCUUCAGAUACACACAUUCCUGGAUCUUCACAUUCCGGCUAAUCUUGUAAGCUGAUAAUUUUAUUUUUAAAGAAGGAAGUAAUACUAUUCAUCGAUGCAACUGCAAUUCAGUCUUUUUCAAUUCUUCAAUACUGGGGAUAAGGCUGUUAAAGACAGAACUGGCAGCUGACGAUACGAUUACUCAUUUAUUCUUUAGGAAACACAUUUAUUAAUAACUAAAGCAGAAUUAAUAUUGAUUAUUUCCUUAGCUGAUUGAUGCAGGACUGGACCACUUUCUCUCUGUUCAAGUUGCUGUGGUGGUAAGGAAUAAAAAACUCAGAACUCCCCCACCUUCAACUAUCGAAAAGGCACAAGGAAAAGGAUUUGGACAGCUGCUGGUCUCCAGGAAACUCCACAAGCAGAGAUCGUCAGCCCUGUAAUCCUAAUUACAUCCUUGGGGACUGACAGAGAAGACAGACCUGAACACACACCAGUGCAAGCAGGAACAGCAACACCGUUUGACAGCCCGUCUUCUCAGCUGCUCUUUUCCGUUCCAGAGCACACAAAUGUAUUUUUCAAUCUAUCUCCUGUGGUCGUGGGAGAAAAAUAACCCUUCAGCUGUGUGUGAUUAAAAAGGGCAAUGCUUGAGUUUGCAAGCAGCCUGAAAAGGACUGGUAGAGGUUUGGGAGCUUGCCUGUCCCUGUGAGCUGUGUACCAAGGCCUUCUGAAGAGAUGCCACUUAGCUGCAUCUUUGCCUUCAUUAAGAGAGGACAACCAUAAGUAGAAAUGGGCACUGUGUACUUAAUGUGACCUCUGAAUAUGUGAUGAUGACAUGAAGAGCUGCCCCAGAUUGAAAACCCUGACGCAAGAGCUCAGAUGUGAUUGCACCUGGGGCAUCUGCAUACCAAGUAAUUUCCAGAGAAAGUUAUUUUAUUUGUGAAAGAAAUUUACUUUCUCAAAAAGCAACAACCUAUAUUGCUUUUUGUUUCUUCUCUCUUUCCCUUGAGGCAGCAGGGUUUCCCCCAGGAUAUCCAUUCUCGUGGCCUUGUCUAUUUUGUCAUCACGUGAGAAGCUCACAAAUGAAAUCUACUGUCAGUGUCUUCUGCCGGAAUCAGAACCUUCAUUCCAAGAGGAUGGAUCAACAGAUUACCUUUGGCUCACCAAGAGAAUCAAAGAAUCACAGAAUGAUGGGUUGGAAAGGACCUCAAAGAUCAUCCAGUUCCAGCCCCCUGCCAUGAGCUCCCCAGCCACCAAAUCAGUCUCUAGAGCAGGCUGCCCAUGGCCCCAUCCAUUCUGGUCUUGGGCACCUCCAGGGAUGGGGCACCCACAACAACUCUGAGCGACCUGUACCAACACGAACCUCUCUUUUACUCACAAAAAAAGUGCAGUGCUUUGGGCAAUGGCCUCCUGGAAAGCAUCUGGAGAGGCAGCAGGUAUUGCACAUACACACAGACAGAGUCAAACCAGAGGCAUUUGCACAUCUGAGACCUUACAGCAUUAUUCCAUCUCCAGCUCAUUUAAAGCACAGGUGAGAAGCUGUGGCAAAUGCUCUGGAAACGACACAGAUCAUCAUGCUCUACAGUUUGUCCCCAGACAGCAUCCUGUCCAACGCGUGGUUUGCCAGAUGCAUUUAAAAAGCUUCCUGGCCUUCAGCAAGGAAAAGAGAAAACAAGGAAGAACACCUGUUUUAAGGAAUAGCAGCAAUUCUGGAGAGCAUAUGCAGAGGCUUCCAGAGGGGUUUUAAAAUGGGCUUGUCAAGCAACAUAAAUGGAAUGUUAUUCCUAAAGUUUAUUCUGAGAUUUAUGCAUACUUAACCCAUAAACCCACAGCAAACAAACACUGCAUAAAAGCCCCAUGGGUAAACAGAAAUAACAAAGCCCACAUAGAUCGCUAUGGUUGCAUUGGAGGAAAUCUCUUUGGAAGAGGCUGCUUGACUCACGCUCAACCUUUCUGCCCAUGCACAGCUUCCUAUAGCAUGCAGGAGGAUAUAUUUCAUCUGGUGGGGGCUCUGAUGCCUGUCCAGCAAAUCCACGAUGCCAAGCUAAACCUUCGCCUGGUUAUUAGUGCUUGAAAGGUAUGUGAAGAUUUUUAAUAUUAAGGAAGGCUAAACAGAGAUGUCUGUUUUUCAUAAUUGCACAGUGCUCCCAAGACAGCUGUUCAGCCAUCUUGAAAAUCAAUGUUUUGAUGCCCUUUGAACCUUCUUUUCCUGUUGAGCGUCUCUCCUACAGGUUGCUCCCCAGGAUGAAAACAAUAAAAGCAAAUAUAUAACAGUAAAGGCCUGAGGUUAAUGUCUUUAACAAGAUAAUGUUACUUAAGGGAACUGUAAACCAAAUCAUUCCUAAAUUCCAUUUGUUUUUUGCAAUCUAGUAUAUAUUAUGAAACCAUAUGUGUGUGUAUGGAUGUGUAUGCAAUGCACAGGACUUUUUACAGUACCAUUUUCACAUUAUGCAUUUCAGUAUUCCCACAUCACAUGGAUUACUGGGGUAUUAUUAUUAUUCUAACUAUUUAACCAUUUUUUAAUAGCUUCCUAUUGCAGCUGUGGAUCCAAUCACUUUGUAGCUGGCUGCAGGUCUAUUGAUGCCAGCUUAUUUUACCAAGCAGAAUGUCUUUCUUUGGGUUUAAUCUCAAAAGUCCAUUCAUUCCAACAAACUGGCACACGUCCUUAAUAUUUCUUCAAUUUCACCAGGGAAGAACUUGGUAAAAUUACUUCAAACUGCAUUCCUUUUGUAUAUAUGAACAAAGGGGGAAAAAGAAGAAAGAAAACUCAAAAGGAGGCAUUGCAAAAAGUUUCAAAGUAAAUUCUCUGGAAGCCCAACAAGAGCCCACACUUCCCCCUGUAGUGCGUUCAUGGCGAGGAACCCAGCGAGGAGAAAUCACCGUGACCCCAUCCUCGUCAGGAAAAAUAAAUACAUUUUCUUCCAUCCGAGCUGCAAUCCUGCGUGGAACAAUUUAAGCCUUUCCUGCCGCCUCCAGACAUUGAGGGUAAGGUGUUAUGAGUGUUACUCUCUGGAACCAGGAAUGAAAGCUUCCAUCCACCCUGCUGCUGCUGAGCUGCCUCCAGCCCAGCUUGGAGCCUUCACUCUGGGGGAAAAGAGGAAACCAUCUGGCCUUGUGGGAUGCCUAAAGCGCUCAGUCUUUUAGCCAGAAAGCUGCUCUUACAGAAAGCUCUACUGCGUGAUGACUACAGGACAUCGCCGUGACCUGAGCAACCCUGUGUAGCUUCAAAGCUGAUCUUCCUUUGGCUGGCACCAGAGGGUCUCCAGAAGUCCCUUCCAAGAUAAAUAUUACGUGGUUGUUACAACUGCUUUGGCAUAGGAAUCCCAGUAUUCAUAAGAUGAUAAAUCCCAGAGGUAGGCUCCGAUGUGCAAGCAGCUGAUGGCACAGCAUGGCCCUGCCCUAGGAAGCAGCACAGACUGGGAAGCAAACAAACUGGGGAGAUUGGAGAUAAGAAAGAGGAUUUUUAUGACAAAUGUGAUGAGGCACUAGAACAAGUUGCCCAGAGAUGCAAUACAACCUAUCUGUGGAGACAUUCAAGGUCAAGCUGGACAGGGGCUUUGAGCACCUGAUGGAGCUGUAGCUGUCCCUGUUCAUUGCAGGGGAGUUGGAUCAGAUGGCGCUUAAGGGUCCCUUUCAACUCAAACAAUUCUACGUUAUGGAUCCCUUCUAACAAAAUAAAAUAAAAUAAAAUCCCGAAAUAAACCAGAAAUCCCUUUGAAGGACAUCCACAUCUUAACAUGAGAGGUUGGCAGGUAGCAACAGAGCUGCAGUAAAUUCCUGCAGACCUCCAGGCUUAUUUACGAGGCAUCUCAGGCACUAUAAAUGGCUUUUAUUUUUGUGAAACAUGCCAGGAAAGGAGGGGGGGAGCUAGACAAAGGAAGGAGGGCUUUGCUUGAGAAGACACCCAAACAAGCUAGGAUGAAGAAGCUGUACAAUGCCCUGGAUGAGCAUCAGGCCCACAUCCCGCUCCCCUGCGGAUCAUGGCUGGGAACAAGAGGCAGUGAGAACACUCAUUACUAUUGACCUUGUCCUCAUGCUGAUGCUAAAAAGCUGCUUCUCUACCCGCUUUAGGUGACCCUGACACGAGCCUUGAAGGAACAUCAGUAAGAGAUAUCCCAAUUAAAUCUAUUUGGAAGCUAUUCAGCACAUAUUUUCCCCUUUCCAAGACAGCAAGGCUGUGACUAACCAAAGACAUUUGGGAGAAGUUUUUGCUUUCCCUGGGCACAGAAUUUUGUUUUUAUUUCUUUCCUCCUUUAUAUUGGUGGGGGGGGGGGGGGGGGGGGGGGGGGAAGGAUACCUGGACCAUUUCUGCAGCCCUUCUUCUCUUCCUUAGUUUGACUCUAUCCUUUAUUUUCAUUUUUUCACAAGCUCAGCCCCAAACUCAUUAGAGAGUAAAACCCUCCCUAGAAAUAUAGGCAAAAGAAAAAAAGGAAAAAAAAUAAGAAUCCUCAGUUUAUAAGCAAGCCUACACAGCUCAGGUGGUGUCAAAAAAGAGUUUGCAAGUCCAUCCUAUGAGCUCACCUACUGCCAUUGCUUGGUAUUGCAUACACUCAAUACCAAACUCCUUCCCAUAUCGGUUAGAGGACCCCAACCAGAUGUUAGCCCUAAGCCAAUUGCACACCUAGCCAACUGUGUGCUGCUUUACCUUCAGAGCUAGAAAUGAUUCUUGCUGACUGCUACAAAAUCCUGCAUGUUUGGGCAUACCAGAAACACAUUUACCCUUUAUCAGAUUAGUUUUACAAUAGUCCUUUCCAUAUAUUCCGAUUAGAUGCAUUUAUCACACACACACAAAAAAAGUAACAUCUAAAGGCUCUUUAUACUAAACCUUAUUUAAAUCUACCCCACACUUUGGUUAAUUGUUUCUGAGUUAAGGAGCAGCUUUUUCCAUGAACAAUAGCAACGUGGGAAGAUUUCAGCACAUCACAGGAAACCUUGGGAGGAAGCAACCAAGACGAGCUGGAUGGAGAGCUCAUUUUGGUCCUUCCAGCUUCCUUUUCCAAUUCUUUUUUUACUGUCUAGGACUCUGAAAGUUUUGAUGCCAUCUCAGGAAUAAAAAAAUCUGUGUGUACAGACUACAAUAAUAACUGAAAAGACUAUCGUCUUGCGGCUCUGUGUAUUCUACAACAAUGAGCACUUCAACAAAUAUAAAUAAAAACAGCUUUUCCUCUUCUGACUUGUCCCAUGGAGAUUUCGUUGGGCCUCCACAUAAUCCAUGGGAUUUCUGAAGCUUUUAGUUUUAACCAAGUAAUUUGUACGACUGCCCGAGACGCUUCCAAAUGUGCAGUAACUGGAUUUUGGUACGCUCCCAACCGCCUAAUUAAAACCAUAGAAUAGAAUCAUUGGGCUUAGGUGAUUUUUAAUUCUUCUUUCUUCCUCCUUUUAUUUUUUAAUCAAAAGAAACCUUCUGAGUCACAUAUCCAGGGGAUUAUUCCAAACAGCACUUUGGAAAGGGCACACACUGGAAAUCCUAUAUAGCAGCAGAGGAGAGUUGUCACGCAUGUGUGUAGAGCUCGUUUAGACUGGAUGCCAAAGGUUACGGUACACACAGGAAAAAAUCAAAUUACUUAUGAUCCUCUUCUUACUGCAUCCCUGUCAGAAUGAUGUAAUGAGGAAAAGAAGAUUUCCCCUUCCAAAGUCUUAACGAGGAUUUUGGAACAACUGAUGAAGGAGCAGCGCUAGGGGAGCCCAGUGUUGAGGAGCACCAGCAAACAGUGCACAGCAAAGCCUCACACCUCAUGGGAGAUCUCCUCCUUCAGAGGACCCCAACAGCCUGCUGCAGACUACCCUUCACAGGGGUAAACUCAAGCAACAAAAUGCAAGAGAUUUUCUCCAACAGAUGCAGCCUAUUUGGAAACAGCAGCCCGUGAACAAGACGUGGCUUCUCUCCUUGCUGUGUCGAUACAGCCAGCAAUCAAGAUCUGGGCCUUUUAUUGUAAUUGUUCAGCACAAUAACACAGAUUGAAGUUUGGUUUUCGCGGUAUCUGGCUAGGCAUGUCGACCUGAUGUGGAUCAAAGGCUACAUGGUAGAAUUAAGCAAAUAUAAUCAGUGUAAUAUGAUUCAUUCUUGUCCUGCUGAGCAGAUGUUUGAACAGAUGUCAGGUGAAAAAAAAAUAUGUGCUGGGGAGUUAGCGCAUUAUUUUAAAUUAGUGCAUUUAAGAGACAGGAGUAUCUUUGUUAAUCCCGCUGAAGGUGAAAGCGAGUAUUUAUGACUUUGGUUGCUGGGAAGUUAUCCUCCCUUUGCCUUUUAGUGGCCAGCACUCUCCAGUUCCCCUAUCAGGAAGACAGCAGUGCUGGUGGGCUAGGAUAUUGGCCCAUCAGCUUGCUCGGCUUAGUUCUCCAUCAUCUUGGGAAGGAGCAUCUGAUGUGCUAAGUAAAGAGAGGGUUAAAUAUGGAGUCACUAUUGGCCUGUUAUGUGGAGAAGGUGGUCAGUUUGGAUUGCUAUACAGUUCCCAUCAUUAUACUGGGAGCUUGCUGCAGCACUUGUUCUCUGAUAAAAACACUUACAAAAAACAAGCUUUUUUCUGGCAUUUCUUGGUCAGAGCUAAAA